GUGCCAGCCGCCGCGGUAAUACGUAGGGCGCGAGCGUUGUCCGGAAUUAUUGGGCGUAAAGAGCUCGUAGGCGGCCUGUCGCGUCAAUUGUGAAAGCCCGGGACUCAACCCCGGGUCUGCAGUCGAUACGGGCAGGCUAGAGUUCGGUAGGGGAGAUCGGAAUUCCUGGUGUAGCGGUGAAAUGCGCAGAUAUCAGGAGGAACACCGGUGGCGAAGGCGGAUCUCUGGGCCGACACUGACGCUGAGGAGCGAAAGCGUGGGGAGCGAACAGGAUUAGAAACCCUCGUAGUCC
rnacentral:rRNA from 1 species